rnacentral:lncRNA from 1 species
UUCAAAAUGCUUCUGUAUUUUGACCAUGGCUUUGUAUACCUGUGACGUCAAGAACAAACGGUUUUGCACUAAGGGAAGUAAAGCCCCCACAGGAGCAGACAGUUGCCUCUGAUUCAUUGGAUGACUUUACACAAAUCCUCAUCUGUAACGUUCCUCAGUAUCCUCAUUUGCAAAUGAAUGAUAAAUUCCAACUCAUGGUUGUUGUGAAGACUGAAUAAAAUAAAUAGGUAAAGCUCCUUAGCAGAAGACUGGCCCGGCGUAAGUGUUAGCAAUUAGCACCAUUGCUUACAUUGGUGGUAGAAGUCACACUCCACCUCAGGGUCGACCACGUCAGAAACUCUGUCCAGUCAGCAGCAUCAGGGAAGGUGACAAAUGCAACCACUCUGCUUUUCCUAUGGUUCCUUUGAAAAAGGUUUUUCUGCUUCCUCGGUGAUCACAUUUUCUGUCACAUUUGAGGCUUGUUGCUAGUAUUAUAGGAUCCUAUGGAUCUUCCUUGCUUGUCUUUCUGUCUUGUUUGACUCACGUUUACUGUUUUCCUCACCAGAUACCCACCAUCUGGGUUCAUGGUUCAUGACUUCUUCAGGUCGCCAGGGCCCGAGAUGCCUGCCCAGAACUAAGCACAGUUCUUUACAAGGUGCAAGUUCAAGGUGAUGAGCCCAUUGCUAAGAUUAGAACCAGGCUAGGUCUGCGUCAUCACUACCCUAACAUGGCUGGAGCAAAAAACUGGGUACCGGAAAAAGGGUCACAAACUAAGCUAUGCCUGUUUGAAGAGUGGGAAGCACUGGCGACACA